rnacentral:rRNA from 1 species
CAGCACGGACUUCGGUCUGGUGGCGAGUGGCGAACGGGUGAGUAAUGUAUCGGAACGUACCUUUCAGUGGGGAUAACGUAGCGAAAGUUACGCUAAUACCGCAUAUUCUGUGAGCAGGAAAGCAGGGGAUCGCAAGACCUUGCGCUGAUUGAGCGGCCGAUAUCAGAUUAGCUAGUUGGUGGGGUAAAGGCCUACCAAGGCUACGAUCUGUAGCGGGUCUGAGAGGAUGAUCCGCCACACUGGAACUGAGACACGGUCCAGACUCCUACGGGAGGCAGCAGUGGGGAAUUUUGGACAAUGGGGGCAACCCUGAUCCAGCCAUGCCGCGUGAGUGAAGAAGGCCUUCGGGUUGUAAAGCUCUUUCGGCCGGGAAGAAAUCGCAUAGACUAAUACCCUGUGUGGAUGACGGUACCGGAAUAAGAAGCACCGGCC